GGCCUACGGGAGGCAGCAGUGAGGAAUAUUGGUCAAUGGUCGGGAGACUGAACCAGCCAAGCCGCGUGAGGGAUGAAGGUACAAAGUAUCGUAAACCUCUUUUGUCAGGGAACAAAGGCGGGGACGCGUCCCCGGAUGAGUGUACCUGAAGAAAAAGCAUCGGCUAACUCCGUGCCAGCAGCCGCGGUAAUACGGCGGAUGCGAGCGUUAUCCGGAUUUAUUGGGUUUAAAGGGUGCGUAGGCGGAUUUUUAUGUCAGCGGUAAAAUGUCCGGGCUUAACCC
rnacentral:rRNA from 1 species